rnacentral:rRNA from 1 species
GACGUAGGAGGCGAGCGUUAUCCGGAUUCACUGGGCGUAAAGGGCAUGUAGGCGGCUAUGUAAGUCGUGUGUUAAAGCCCCCGGCUCAACUGGGGGAGGUCAUGCGAGACUAUAUGGCUUGAGGGCAGCAGAGGAGCGUGGAACUCCCGGUGUAGCGGUGGAAUGCGUAGAGAUCGGGAAGAACACCAGUGGCGAAGGCGGCGCUCUGGGCUGCAACUGACGCUGAGAUGCGAAAGUGUGGGGAGCAAACGGG